GAGCAUGUGGUUUAAUUCGAAGCAACGCGAAGAACCUUACCAGGUCUUGACAUCCUCUGACAACCCUAGAGAUAGGGCUUCCCCUUCGGGGGCAGAGUGACAGGUGGUGCAUGGUUGUCGUCAGCUCGUGUCGUGAGAUGUUGGGUUAAGUCCCGCAACGAGCGCAACCCUUGAUCUUAGUUGCCAGCAUUCAGUUGGGCACUCUAAGGUGACUGCCGGUGACAAACCGGAGGAAGGUGGGGAUGACGUCAAAUCAUCAUGCCCCUUAUGACCUGGGCUACACACGUGCUACAAUGGGCAGAACAAAGGGCAGCGAAGCCGCGAGGCUAAGCCAAUCCCACAAAUCUGUUCUCAGUUCGGAUCGCAGUCUGCAACUCGACUGCGUGAAGCUGGAAUCGCUAGUAAUCGCGGAUCAGCAUGCCGCGGUGAAUACGUUCCCGGGCCUUGUACACACCGCCCGUCACACCACGAGAGUUUGUAACACCCGAAGUCGGUGAGG
rnacentral:rRNA from 1 species